rnacentral:lncRNA from 10 species
AUUUCUUCUUAAUUCUUUUUAUUAGUAUUUCAUCUAUCUACCUAUCUAUCUACCUGUCUAUCUAUCUAUCUAUCUAUCUAUCUAUCUAUCUAUCUAUCUAUCCAUCCAUAUGUAUGCAUGUAUUUUUUGUAACUACAGGCGAGCACCACCAUGCCUGGCUAAUUUUUGUAUUUUUGGUAGAGAUGGAGUUUUGCCAUGUUGCCCAGGCUGAUCUGGAACUCCUGCAGUGAAGCGAUCCACCCACCUCGGCCUCCCAAAGUGCUGAGCCACAGUGCCCGACCUGAAAAGAUCUGUUGUGCACAUAUCCUACCAAAUUUCCAGAGGAAGAUGAAAACCAGAGGAAGAUGAAGAGCCUCAAUCCCUACUCUAUACAAAGCUAAAUAUAUAUUUUAUUUGAACACCAAGAUGGUUAAUAUUUCAGGUUCGAUCUCUAUAUUUAACCAUUUUGGAUCUGAACAGACAGAGAAAGUAAUUGUAAGUAAAAUAUUUCUAUAUGUCACUCAUAUACAGUGGUGAUCGCAGAAUCAAUGACCCCGUUCUCACAAGUAUAAGAACACACAAUAGGAGAAUGGCUUAUAUUAUUUGGAAAUAUAUUAAUCAUCUCAAAAUUUGAAAAAACAACAACAACAAAAUCUUCCAUGUGCCUUUAAGAAAACAUCAUCUUCUACUCUAUAUUUUGUGACCAAGAUAUCCUUAACUUUCUCUUCAGCUUGACAUAACUUUAGACAGGCUUCUUUCUGAU